CAAAUAUUUCCUCACAAGUUCAAGGAAAUAAGUGUGACUCUUGCAAAGAUACUGUUUCAGCCAUACUGCUUAAGUUGAAUGAUCCUGAAACCAAGCUUGAGAUAAUGGAGGCACUGUUGAAGGCAUGCAAUUCUAUGGAUCAGUUGGCGAAGAAGUGCAAGAGGAUGGUUUUUGAAUAUGGACCUCUGAUUAUUGUGAAAGCAGAGAAGUACCUGAAAACAACUGAUAUAUGCACUACAUUACAUGUU